AAUUUCAACAUUUUCAACUUACAAUGCUUGAUGCUUGACGAAUGUAGCUGUAAACCGAGUGAAUACUAGUAAUACCAACACCCUUUAGAUCCAUGAUUGUGCACGAAGUUUCAAUCAAGCCUCCUGCUUUACGAGAACAAGCGGGCUGAAGACGGUUAAUAAAGAUGAAAAGAAAUAUCAAAAUGAAAAAAUAUAUCACAAAAAAUUCAACACAGUAGAAAACCAAAAGUUUUUCUAUUAAAAAGCCGAAAAACCAGCCUUAUAUGGAAUAUGCAAAUCCAAAGGAAAGGUUUGAUUAUGAGAAUUACUGGAGA